UACGGGGGGGGCAAGCGUUGUUCGGAAUUACUGGGCGUAAAGGGUUUGUAGGUGGCCGGCUAAGUCAGACGUGAAAUCCCUCAGCUUAACUGGGGAACUGCGUCUGGGACUGGUCGGCUUGAGGGCCGGGGAGGAACGCGGAAUUCCAGGUGUAGCGGUGAAAUGCGUAGAUAUCUGGAGGAACACCGGUGGCGAAGGCGGCGUUCUGGACGGCAUCUGACACUGAGAAACGAAAGCCAGGGGAGCAAACGGG
rnacentral:rRNA from 1 species